rnacentral:rRNA from 1 species
UACGUAGGGUGCGAGCGUUGUCCGGAAUUAUUGGGCGUAAAGAGCUCGUAGGCGGUGUGUCACGUCGGCCGUGAAAACCUGGGGCUUAACUCUGGGCGUGCGGUCGAUACGGGCAUCACUAGAGUUCGGCAGGGGAGACUGGAAUUCCUGGUGUAGCGGUGAAAUGCGCGGAUAUCAGGAGGAACACCGGUGGCGAAGGCGGGUCUCUGGGGCCGAUACUGACGCUGAGGAGCGAAAGCAUGGGUAGCGAACAGG